GUCUAUGGCCAUACCACCCUGAACACGCCUGAUCUCAUCUGAUCUCGGAAGCUAAGCAGGGUCGGGCCUGGUUAGUACUUGAAUGGGAGAAAACAUUAAUACAGUCAUGGGCC
ensembl:rRNA 5S_rRNA 5S ribosomal RNA